UUGAGUUUGGCCUUUCAUCUAUUAACGCUGUUGAUGCACUUAUUGGCCACAGGAGGGAGCUGGUGAUCAGCUGUCUUGUAUUAUUUAACGUAAUAAAUAGGAUUUUUUGAGUAUGACAUUUUUUAAGUAAGCUGGACGCAUAAGAACUAAAGUCAAUGACCCAACCUGAAGUAAUUUUCGGUCUGUUGGUGGUAAUUAUUACACGAUUCGUCUGGUAGAAACUGUGCAGUUUGCCAUCCGCUCCUCUAGGCGGCGUAAGCGCGCUUCAGGUUCAGCAUGACACCUUUGGAUUCCUGUCAACAACAACAUGACACCUGAUGACAGUCGCCACAACACGUUCUGGUAGUUUUAAGGCCAUUAAAGUACAAACCCUGCAGAUGACAGCUCAGUGACAGACUCGUAAUGUCACUUAACAACACAUUUUUCAGCCCAUCUGCAAAAACAACCGACACACACUGUUAUAAAGUGCAGGAAUCAAGAAUGUCACGCGACUCACCUAUCUGGCAUUCUCUGACUCAACACUUUAACAGAGUCGUUGCCCCUAGACUUCCUGGGCUUUGGUUUUUCAGACAAACCGAAUAAGAGAUGUGUUUGGACCGUUACACCCAGUGACGUGUGGACAGACAUUCACAGUUUGAUGGACAUCUGCUCAGACACAGUUAAAAGCAUAACCGCUGCUGGACAUCGUGCGGGAGCUCAGGGGGGGACCCCAUGAUCCCCCACACCUUCUCACUCACACCACAGCAUUCAUUCAUAUCGCAGAGAUCUGGCUGGAGUCGAACCAGCAACCUCUGAAACCGUGAGGCAGCGCUCUUACCUGUGAGCCACAGAUCUCUUGUCUGGACAUGUGAAGGAACUUAUAUUUCACUAUUCACCUGUAUGUGAGCUGGGAUUUUACAAUAAACCAGUUAAAGC